CUUAAGCAAAACCAGCUUUCCAUAGGCCUCAGCAGAUUGAUCGCCAGGAUGGGCUCCUUUCUCAGGGCAGAGUUUGUACACUGGAACUCGCCUAACAAGAACAGAUGCUUAUCUCUGUCCAGCUAAGUGUCAGUGCAUUGAAUCCUCCCCACAAUCCUAGGCAGGGGGCACUUUACAGGUGGGGAAAUAGACUUAGAGGUUAGAUAAUUUGGUUAAGGUCACAUAGCCAAAGUGGUCAAAGUGAAAUUGGGAUUAAAGCCAGUAUACCUAGCUUCAGAUAACUAAUGGCACAUUUGAAGAAAUGGAGGAACAGGCAGAGAGGAGUCCCUUAGGAAACUAAGGACGCCUUUGGGGAAAGUUGCUCCACCUGUACCCCUGGAGGUUGGAACCCUUUCCCCUAAUCAGGAUAACAUCCUUCUGCUGUGUGUCCUGUCCUGUGGCCCCAGGGGAGCCCCUCCCUAUCUCCUGAACCUAACCAACUUCCCCUUUGGGUUCUGCAGAGUUCAUGGGCAAGAGCAGUAGGAGGAAGCGUGCCUGCUGCCAUUACACCCUGGGUGCAGACUUAAGGGUAGCCUCAGUUCUGGCCUGGAGCCUGACCCUUCCUGUCUCGCCUAGACCUGUCUGCGCCUGCGCUUGCCCAGGACUCCUUUGAGGCCCCUUCCAGGCCCUGUGGUUAAUGUGUAACCAGGUGUGAUUUCUGAGGAACCAUAAACUGGCAGAGUGAUGUCACACAAAUUCUUGCCCAGACGCUGCCAAACCAGAUUCUGUGGGCUCCAGGGAUGGCAGAGGGUCUACAUUGGAAGACUAGCCUGGAUCAACAGAGUAGAGUUUUUCUGUCAAGGGGGAGGUCUAGGACCCUCCCCUUGCCCUCAGGCAGAGAUCCCCACCAGGCAGGGGCUUCUUGGGAGGCCCAUCCUGGCAAUCAGCUGAGGCCUAGGGGAAGCAGGUUUUGCUUAAGGAUUCCGUCUGAGGGUUGGGCAGCCUGGUGGAACAGAUGGGCACCUCUGGGGAGGCUGCCAGGAGGACAGGGCAUGGAAGCAGGCUGUCAAGGCUCUAAGCAGCUCCUGCCUGGUGGGGGCCUCAGCUGGAAACUUGGGUCUGAGGGCCUCCAAAGGCCCUGCCCCCUUUCCUCCCUGGUGCUGCUUAUGCCCCAACAUAGCUUUCUGACACCCUGCCCAGGGAGUAUGCCUGCAUCCCAAGGGCAGGUGCCUAAGGAUCAUUGAGGAAUGGCUGGACCUCUGACCCAGCACCUCUGUCACCAGACUGCCAGACUUCCUUUGUGUAUAUGGAGAAAGGGGCCCCAAACACCUGUCUUUGAAGGCUGAGGCCUGCCCAGGCCCCGGGCAGGAGCACCAUCCCGGAGUGAUCUAAGGGUAGGUAACCCUGCAGCCCUACCCUCUGGACCUUGCCUCUGCCAUCCUGACCUUGCCAGUAGAGAGAGGGGGAAAAUAGUCCUUUCCCUGGGGGGGGGGGGGGGGGGGGGGGGGGGGUGACUCUGAGAAGCUGCAAGGGCUAGGGACAAAGAGCAAGCCCACCCCCCCACCUGCCCCCGAAAUGCCCCCCCG
rnacentral:lncRNA from 1 species